UACAGAGGGUCCCAGCGUUGUUCGGAUUCAUUGGGCGUAAAGGGGUGCGAGUAGGCGGCGGCGGUAAGUUCGGGUGUGAAAUCUCGGGGCUUAACUCCGAAACUGCAUUCGAUACUGCCGUGCUUGAGGACCUGGGAGAGGAGACUGGAAUUUACGGGUGUAGCGGUGAAAUGCGUAGAUAUCGUAAGGAAGACCGUGGCGA
rnacentral:rRNA from 1 species